rnacentral:rRNA from 1 species
UACGGAGGGUGCAAGCGUUAUCCGGAAUCACUGGGUUUAAAGGGUGCGUAGGCGGCUUUGUAAGUCAGAUGUGAAAGCUUCCCGCUUAACGGGAAAACUGCAUUUGAUACUGCAAGGCUUGAAUCAGGCUGAGGUCAGCGGAAUGUGUCAUGUAGCGGUGAAAUGCAUAGAUAUGACAUAGAACACCAAUUGCGAAGGCAGCUGGCUAGACCUGUAUUGACGCUGAGGCACGAAAGCGUGGGGAGCGAACAGG